CAAGAAAUAGUUUAUUUAAAAUUUUAAUUUUGGAGAUUAAAGAUAAGUGUGAUCAUUUUUUCUUGA
rnacentral:tRNA from 1 species